rnacentral:piRNA from 1 species
GGAACAAGCAAGGAUGGUGCUGGUGUU